rnacentral:rRNA from 1 species
CAACACUGGGACUGAGAUACUGCCCAGACUCCUACGGGAGGCUGCAGUCGAGGAUCUUUCGCAAUGAGCGAAAGCUUGACGGAGCGACGCCGUGUGAUUGAUGAAGGCCUUCGGGUUGUAAAGAUCUUUCGCAUGGGAACAAGAGAGAGUCGUAAAUAACGAUUUAAUUUGAGGGUACCAAGUAAAGAAGCACCCGGCUAACUCC